rnacentral:misc_RNA from 1 species
GAUGAAGAACGUAGCGAAAUGCGAUACGUAAUGUGAAUUGCAGAAUUCAGUGAAUCAUCGAAUCUUUGAACGCAUAUUGCGCUCUCUGGUAUUCCGGAGAGCAUCCUUGUUUGAGUAUCAGUAAACACCUCAACUUCCAUAUCUUUUUUGAAAUGGGAGUUGGACUUGAGUGAUCCCAACGCUUUUCCUCACCGAAAAGUGGCGGGUUACUUGAAAUGCAGGUGCAGCUGGACUUUUCUCUGAGCUAUAAGCAUAUCUAUUUAGUCUGCCUAAAAAACAGAUUAUUACCUUUGCUGCAGCUAACAUAAAGGAGAUUAGUUCUUGUGCUGACUGAUGCAGGAUUCACAAAGACAGGCUUCGGCCGACUUUGUAAACUCGAUCUCAAAUCAAGUAAGACUACCCGCUGAACUUAAGCAUAUCAAUAAGCGGAGGA